rnacentral:rRNA from 1 species
AUUGAACGCUGGCGGCAGGCCUAACACAUGCAAGUCGAGCGGAGCGGCGGACGGGUGCGUAAUGCCUAUGAAUCUGCCUGGUAGUGGGGGAUAACGUCCGGAAACGGGCGCUAAUACCACAUCCUAUCACAUUCGCCUAGGUCGGAUUAGCUAGUGGGUGUGGUAAAGGCCUACCAAGGCGACGACCCGUAACUGGUCUGAGAGGAUGAUCAGUCACACUGGAACUGAGACACGGUCAAGACUCCUACGGGAGGCAGCAGUGGGAAAUAUUGGACAAUGGGCGAAAGCCUGAUUCAGCCAUGCAGAGUGUGUGAAGAAGGUCUUCGGGUUGUAAAGCACUUUAAGUUGGGAGGCGUUACCAGCAGAAUAAGCACCGGCUAACUCCGUGCCAGCAGCCGCGGUAAUUC